rnacentral:rRNA from 1 species
GUCUUAGCUUGCUAAGGCUGAUGGCGACCGGCGCACGGGUGAGUAACACGUAUCCAACCUGCCGUCUACUCUUGGCCAGCCUUCUGAAAGGAAGAUUAAUCCAGGGUGGCAUCAUGAGUUCACAUGUCCGCAUGAUUAAAGGUAUUUUCCGGUAGACGAUGGGGAUGCGUUCCAUUAGAUAGUAGGCGGGGUAACGGCCCACCUAGUCAACGAUGGAUAGGGGUUCUGAGAGGAAGGUCCCCCACAUUGGAACUGAGACACGGUCCAAACUCCUACGGGAGGCAGCAGUGAGGAAUAUUGGUCAAUGGGCGAUGGCCUGAACCAGCCAAGUAGCGUGAAGGAUGACUGCCCUAUGGGUUGUAAACUUCUUUUAUAAAGGAAUAAAGUCGGGUAUGCAUACCCGUUUGCAUGUACUUUAUGAAUAAGGAUCGGCUAACUCCGUGCCAGCAGCCGCGGUAAUACGGAGGAUCCGAGCGUUAUCCGGAUUUAUUGGGUUUAAAGGGAGCGUAGAUGGAUGUUUAAGUCAGUUGUGAAAGUUUGCGGCUCAACCGUAAAAUUGCAGUUGAUACUGGAUGUCUUGAGUGCAGUUGAGGCAGGCGGAAUUCGUGGUGUAGCGGUGAAAUGCUUAGAUAUCACGAAGAACUCCGAUUGCG